AGACACCUGUAAUUACACAUGGGUUAUCUUGGAAUGACUAUGAAGAGUACAUUGAUAUUUUCCCUUAUAUCCUUAGCAUCGGUUUCUUAUGCAGGUAUGUAAAUUAAUAAUGCAAGAUGUUUAGAUUGUAUGAUUUACUUUCAUCAAAUACAGAGCAUUACUCCUGUUUGAGUUGUUUUUAAUACAUUUCUUGUCUGCUAAACGUCUAUCGAAACUGCUGAUUGAAUUGAAUAUUGAAACCCUUUAACAGUAUUUUGUAAAAGUUUGGAAAGUGGUUAACAUGUAAAAAAUAUAUCCUUUUUCGUGACGUAUUUAAAUAUUCGAAAAUUCCAUUUAGGAAAUCAAAUGAUGCACAUCGAAUCCUAAUAUAUGAAUGAAUAUAAAGAUCUGACAAUCAAAGUGAUCAAAACCGUUGAUUGGAAGACUGAAGCGUUGUAUUCAUAAUUUCAAAACAGAUUCUCAGGUAUCAUGAUGAAUAAAAACAUCAUUGAUUUAUCACUCUUGUCUUAAUUCAGAAAGAUAAUUGUUUUUUCAGUUGAUAAAACCAGCUAGUCACCCUAAAUUUAGGGAUAAAUGGUUCGGAGAUGCAAUAGUUUUUAAUAGCAUCCUUUUUUCUAAAUAAAAUAAUUUAGACAUGAUUGGAAAUAGAAAUCUUUAAAAGAAGGAAAGUAUUUUUUCUUUUAAUUAUGAAUAACGGCAACGAUAGUAUACUGCUGAUCAAAAGUCAGAAAUCAAUUGAAAGAAAUCAAAUCCUGGUUCAACCAAAACCGACGGAAACACAUCAAAUAUAAGAGGAAAUCAACGAAACAACAGAAACACUAAAGUGCAACAUAAAACCAAACGACAAUAUAAAAGAUACCUGGGGGACAGUCAAACUCAUAGAUAGAAAAUAAACUGACAACGCCAUGGCUAAAAAUAAAAAGACAAACAAACAAAUAACAGUACAGAAAACAAAACAUAGAAAACUAAAGACUAAGCAACACGAACCCCGCAUAAAACUGGGGUGAUCUCAGGUGCUCCGGAAGGGUAAGCAGACACACAGAAACGAACUAUAAGAUAACAACUGCAUAUAAGGUUGGCUUAUAAUUUCCAGAGAGAGGCAUCAAACAAAAAGAAUUAAAAAAACUAAUUAUUAUUUGUACUGUUGUUAAAUCUACAUAAAAUAAAAACCUGUCACUCAAAUAUAAAUGUACAAAUACACUUUUGAAUAGCAAGAUAAUGGAGAAUAAACAAAUAAAUCUGAUUGCAGAAUACUAGCAAGUUAGAGUUAUGCAGUUUUGUUUAUUGUUUCAAAAGAUCUAUCUAAGAAGCAUAUACCUUAGCAUAGAUCCAGCAGGGAAGAUUACAAAAAUGCAAACUGAUAUUUAAACAAGUUUUCUUAAUUAAAGACAACCAUGCGCUGUACAACGAACUUUAAUUGCUUUUAUGUCGCUUUGUGUCUGGUUGAUAAUCGUCUCAUAGUCAAUCAAAACCACAUCUUCUUAUUCGUAUAAUGGUUACUUUGAUAUAAUGGUAAUGUAUUAAACGCAUUUGAUCUCAUUAAAGACAACCGGAGUGUAGCAAGUCGAAAUUUUCCGUGACGUUUUCUAUGUCAACAACUAAUAUUUUUCCAAACUUAAGAAAGUGUAGUCGGCUCUUAGCAGAAUGUCUGCAAUAUUAUACAUUACAAUAUUAUAUAUUCAAGAUUUUUGCUAUUGCACUUACAUUUGCCUUAUCCAAAUUUGUCAAUAUACGCGAAUUAUUAACAACUGUGAUACAAGUGGAAGGUUGAGCCAGAUAUAACAUCAGGUUAAACCCACAAUUGCGUAAAAUGCUUAUCAAGUCAGGAAGAUAACCCCAGCAGUUGUUUUGCUGGUAAAAUAAAAUCUAACUUUUGAAUUUAUCAGUUUUUGUGACUUUCCCCUUUUUGAAUUUACCAUGAAAUUCCUUUGUCAUUUAUUAUACUUGUUUAAAUUCACAUGUUCCUUACAGAAAAUCUAUGUUGUUCUUACCCGUGUGAAAAUGGUGGAGUGUGUCUAACAAAGGGAUUUAAUGAUUAUGAGUGUGAUUGUACCAGUACUGACUUCUAUGGAAGAUAUUGUGAAGUCCGUA
rnacentral:lncRNA from 1 species